CAAAGUAUAGCUUAAUUAAAGCCUUUCGCUUACACCGAAAAAACAUCUGUUCAACCCCGAUUACUUUGA
rnacentral:tRNA from 1 species